UACGUAGGGGGCAAGCGUUGUCCGGAAUCAUUGGGCGUAAAGAGCGUGUAGGCGGCCAGAAAAGUCCGCUGUGAAAACUCGAGGCUCAACUUCGAGCUGUCGGUGGAAACUUUCUGGCUAGAGUCCGGAAGAGGAGAAUGGAAUUCCUGGUGUAGCGGUGAAAUGCGCAGAUAUGGGGAGGAACACCGGUGGCGAAGGCGGCCAUCUGGACGGUAACUGACGCUGAGACGCGAAAGCGUGGGGAGCAAACAGG
rnacentral:rRNA from 1 species